AUAAUACCUGGCAGGGGAGCUAUGACUAUGAAAGUGGUGGUUUUUCUACAAGGAAAGCUGAUCCAUUACACUCCAGAUAUGCUGAUGCCUUGUGAUUUCCCCAAACGUGGGAAACUCAAUUACAUCAUUUGUCGAAGUGGGGGACUGUUUCUGCUUUCCCCUA
ensembl:snRNA U1 U1 spliceosomal RNA